AGACUGUGCUUUUAUUCAGAAUUAGUCACAUCUGGCUCCACACAGGUGUACUAGAAUCCUCCACAGCAGUGACGACGCACCAAUCAACACCGUCGCAGUCAGAAGCAGCCACUGUAACAUGCUUUCAAACUGCCAAUACCUCUGAGAUAGACAACUCGGAGACAACUCCUGUUCCGAUUUCUGCAUCUGCAGACAUGUGAGAUUCUGGUACAACGACUAACCCAAAACCUAUUACUGGUUCGACGGCGGAUACAACAACAGCAGCCAGCACAACUGCUCCUGAAUGAUGUAGAUCUACCAUGGAAGCUGAUACCUUUUACAAUCAAAAUAGUCCCUCGAGAUUCAGAAACUUCCUCGACCCUUUAUUAUCCCAAUGGCACUGAUGAUAGUGAGUGAGGUUCACUGUAAUUGUCAUCACUCAUUCAAUGUCGUGGUGAUAAAAGAAGAAGAAAGCUUGAGGAAAUACCCACUCACUUAACCCCAGCGACCCUAUGAAUCUACCACUAAUUUAUGAAUCUAAUUUAAGGAUCACUUUGAAUAUAUUGGACCUUCUUUUGUUCAAAUUUAGGUAUUCGUAUGCAGCGGCUAUCAAAUAUGGUUUCAGUUAUUUUCCUUCUUCCUUC
rnacentral:sRNA from 1 species